rnacentral:rRNA from 1 species
CGGAGGAAAAGAAACCAACAGGGAUUGCCUCAGUAACGGCGAGUGAAGCGGCAAAAGCUCAAAUUUGAAAUCCUCCGGGAAUUGUAAUUUGAAGGUGGGGUUGAAUAGGUCUAGAUACUUUAAGUCCAUUGGAAAAUGGCGCCAUGGAGGGUGAUAGCCCCGUAAAAGUAUUCAAACCUUCUUUUCUUCCCCUCCUAAGAGUCGAGUUGUUUGGGAAUGCAGCUCUAAGUGGGUGGUAAAUUCCAUCUAAAGCUAAAUAUUGGCGAGAGACCGAUAGCGAACAAGUACAGUGAUGGAAAGAUGAAAAGCACUUUGAAAAGAGAGUGAAAAAGUACGUGAAAUUGUUGAAAGGGAAGGGCUUGCAAGCAGACACAACCUCGGUUGGGCCAGCAUCGGAGUGGGGGGAGACAAAAAAGGUUAGGAAUGUAGCUCCCUUUAGAGUAUU